UACGUAGGGUGCAAGCGUUGUCCGGAAUUAUUGGGCGUAAAGAGCUCGUAGGCGGUUUGUCGCGUCUGCUGUGAAAACCCGAGGCUCAACCUCGGGCCUGCAGUGGGUACGGGCAGACUAGAGUGCGGUAGGGGAGAAUGGAAUUCCUGGUGUAGCGGUGGAAUGCGCAGAUAUCAGGAGGAACACCGAUGGCGAAGGCAGUUCUCUGGGCCGUUACUGACGCUGAGGAGCGAAAGCGUGGGGAGCGAACAGGAUUAGAUACCCUGGUAGUCCACGCCGUAAACGUUGGGAACUAGAUGUGGGGACCUUUCCACGGUCUCCGUGUCGCAGCUAACGCAUUAAGUUCCCCGCCUGGGGAGUACGGCCGCAAGGCUA
rnacentral:rRNA from 1 species